UACGUAGGGUGCAAGCGUUCACCGGAAUUACUGGGCGUAAAGCGUGCGCAGGCGGUUGUGCAAGCCAGAUGUGAAAUCCCCGGGCUCAACCUGGGAAUUGCAUUUGUGACUGCACGGCUAGAGUGUGUCAGAGGGGGGUAGAAUUCCACGUGUAGCAGUGAAAUGCGUAGAGAUGUGGAGGAAUACCGAUGGCGAAGGCAGCCCCCUGGGAUAACACUGACGCUCAUGCACGAAAGCGUGGGGAGCAAACAGG
rnacentral:rRNA from 1 species